rnacentral:rRNA from 1 species
GGGGCAACCUGGCGGCGAGUGGCGAACGGGUGAGUAAUAUAUCGGAACGUACCCUAGAGUGGGGGAUAACGUAGCGAAAGUUACGCUAAUACCGCAUACGAUCUACGGAUGAAAGUGGGGGAUCGCAAGACCUCAUGCUCCUGGAGCGGCCGAUAUCUGAUUAGCUAGUUGGUGGGGUAAAGGCCUACCAAGGCAUCGAUCAGUAGCUGGUCUGAGAGGACGACCAGCCACACUGGAACUGAGACACGGUCCAGACUCCUACGGGAGGCAGCAGUGGGGAAUUUUGGACAAUGGGCGCAAGCCUGAUCCAGCAAUGCCGCGUGAGUGAAGAAGGCCUUCGGGUUGUAAAGCUCUUUUGUCAGGGAAGAAACGGUGUUCUCUAAUACAGAAUGCUAAUGACGGUACCUGAAGAAUAAGCACCGGCUAACUACGUGCCAGCAGCCGCGGUAAUACGUAGGGUGCAAGCGUUAAUCGGAAUUACUGGGCGUAAAGCGUGCGCAGGCGGUUUUGUAAGUCUGUCGUGAAAUCCCCGGGCUCAACCUGGGAAUGGCGAUGGAGACUGCAAGGCUAGAAUCUGGCAGAGGGGGGUAGAAUUCCACGUGUAGCANUGAAAUGCGUAGAGAUGUGGAGGAACACCGAUGGCGAAGGCAGCCCCCUGGGUCAAGAUUGACGCUCAUGCACGAAAGCGUGGGGAGCAAACAGGAUUAGAUACCCUGGUAGUCCACGCCCUAAACGAUGUCUACUAGUUGUCGGGUUUUAAUUAACUUGGUAACGCAGCUAACGCGUGAAGUAGACCGCCUGGGGAGUACGGUCGCAAGAUUAAAACUC